rnacentral:rRNA from 1 species
CCUACGGGAGGCUGCAGUGGGGAAUAUUGGACAAUGGGGGGAACCCUGAUCCAGCCAUGCCGCGUGUGUGAAGAAGGCCCUCGGGUUGUAAAGCACUUUCAGUGAGGAAGAACGCCUGGUGGUUAAUACCCAUCAGGAAAGACAUCACUCACAGAAGAAGCACCGGCUAACUCCGUGCCAGCAGCCGCGGUAAUACGGAGGGUGCGAGCGUUAAUCGGAAUUACUGGGCGUAAAGCGCGCGUAGGUGGCUUGAUAAGCCGGUUGUGAAAGCCCCGGGCUCAACCUGGGAACGGCAUCCGGAACUGUCAAGCUAGAGUGCAGGAGAGGAAGGUAGAAUUCCCGGUGUAGCGGUGAAAUGCGUAGCGGUCGGGAGGAAUACCAGUGGCGAAGGCGGCCGUCUGGACUGACACUGACACUGAGGUGCGAAAGCGUGGGUAGCAAACAGGAUUAGAUACCCCUGUAGUC